rnacentral:misc_RNA from 1 species
GGUUAAUGUAAUUAACCCAUGAUAUUAAUUGUUAAUUAAGUUUACAGGAGGUCAGGAUGUGAUCUUUUUAAACUGAAUAUACAUAUGUAUACCUGAAGAACCAACCACCUCAAGCUAACCUUUUUCUUUUUAGCCGAGCUCUAACCUUAUCAGGACCAUUGUACAACAGUAAGCAUGCCAAAUAGGAAGAGCAAAACAUUGGCAUGGCAGCAAGACUGAUGUCUCUGUCACAGAAACAUUGCUACUUAUGAUUUUGUAUAUUCUCUCUAAACUUUGUCCUUUUUUUUCCUCCUUCGCUUCUCUCUCUCAGCUCUCUUUUUCCAUUCUG